AAUUGCAGAAUCCCGUGAACCAUCGAGUCUUUGAACGCAAGUUGCGCCCAAAGCCAUUAGGCCGAGGGCACGUCUGCCUGGGUGUCACGC
rnacentral:rRNA from 1 species